CCGACCACAACAUUAGAAGGAAUUUUUUUUUCCGGUGAGCAUUUUUGGUGAACUAAAAUACCAAACUCCUUCCUCCCUCACUCCUGAACUUGGUGGUGAAACAUCCUCCAAGGGGAAGGAACUCACUGAUCAGUGAGCGCGUAUCGAGACGAGACGAAUAGUUCUACUGCGACGUUGGACUGGGUUGUGCUGUGCAGGCAAUAGAGUAAUUUGUCUGUUUUCCUUGUCUAGGUUUAUUAUAGUGUGUAUGUAAAUUUUAUGGAUCCACUAGACUUGACCAUUAUGUAUUGUUCUUAUAUUUGUACCUCUUGGAUAGUAACUGAAAACCCCAUUUGUAUUAUUUGUGAUGUUCUCUUGUAUUUAGGGUCCAUG